GCCGGGUUGGCGCAGUGGUAACGCGUCGCACUUGUACCAUGUACAGUUAUGCGAAGAUCAGCAGUUCAAUUCUGCUACUCGGCA
rfam:Cochliobolus sativus ND90Pr unplaced genomic scaffold COCSAscaffold_19, whole genome shotgun sequence.